rnacentral:rRNA from 1 species
UACGUAGGGUGCGAGCGUUGUCCGGAAUUAUUGGGCGUAAAGAGCUUGUAGGCGGUUUGUCGCGUCUGCUGUGAAAAUCCGGGGCUCAACCCCGGACUUGCAGUGGGUACGGGCAGGCUAGAGUGUGGUAGGGGGGACUGGAAUUCCUGGUGUAGCGGUGAAAUGCGCAGAUAUCAGGAGGAACACCGGUGGCGAAGGCGGGUCUCUGGGCAACAACUGACGCUGAGGAGCGAAAGCGUGGGGAGCGAACAGG